CGCGUAGGUGGUAGUGCAAGUCUGGGGUGGAAUCCCAGGGCUUAACCCUGGAACUGCCUUGGAAACUGUAUUACUUGAGUCAGUGAGGGGAGGGUAGAAUUCCUGGUGUAGCGGUGAAAUGCGUAGAUAUCAGGAGGAAGGCCUGUGGCGAAGGCGGCCCCCUGGCGCUGAACUGACACUGAGGCGCGAAAGCGUGGGGAGCAAACAGGAUUAGAUACCCUGGUAGUCCACGCCCUAAACGGUGGGUACUAGGUGUAGGGCUCGUAAGGGUUCUGUGCCGAAGCGAAAGCAUUAAGUACCCCGCCUGGGGAGUACGGCCGCAAGGUUGAA
rnacentral:rRNA from 1 species